AGUGCUAUGCAAAAUGAGAUUUUAUAGGUUAACAAACUUGCAGUUUGAAGGUUUCUCAAAGGACCUAAAAUACAACUGCCAUUUGACCUAGCAAUCCCAUUGCUGGGUAUAGAUCCAAAGGAAAAUGAAUCCUUCUACCAAAAAUACACAUGCACCUUUAUGGGCAUUUGCAACACUAUUCACAAUAGCAAAAACAUGGAAUCAACUUAGAUGCCCAUCAGUGGUGGAUUGGAUAAAGAAAAUGUACAUAUACAUCAUGGAAUACUACAGAAUCAUAAAAAAGAAUGAAAUCAUGUAUUCUGCAGCAACGUGGAUGCAGCUGGAGGUCAUUUUCCUAAGUGAAUUAACUCAGUAGCAAAAAACCAAAUACUGCAUGCUGUCACUUAUAAGUGUGAGGUAAACACUAGGUACACAUGGACACAAAGAUGGGAACAACAGACACUGGAGACUACUAGAUGGGGGAGGAAAAGAGUGGGGUAAGGGCUGAAAACUACCUAUUGGGUACCACACUCAGUACCAGGUGACAGGAUCAUUCAUACCCCAAACCUCAGCAUCACACAAUAUACCAAUGUACCAAACCUGCACAUGUAUCACCUAAACCAGGGUUUCUCAACCUCCAGGCCAUGGACCGGUACCAGGUCAUUCCCUGU
rnacentral:lncRNA from 1 species